GGAAUAUUGGACAAUGGGCGCAAGCCUGAUCCAGCCAUGCCGCGUGCAGGAAGACGGCCCUAUGGGUUGUAAACUGCUUUUAUACGGGAAGAAACACCCCUUCGUGAAGGGACUUGACGGUACCGUAUGAAUAAGGAUCGGCUAACUCCGUGCCAGCAGCCGCGGUAAUACGGAGGAUCCAAGCGUUAUCCGGAAUCAUUGGGUUUAAAGGGUCCGUAGGCGGGACAAUAAGUCAGUGGUGAAAGUCUGCAGCUUAACUGUAGAAUUGCCGUUGAAACUGUUGUUCUUGAGUAAUUAUGAAGUGGUUAGAAUAUGUAGUGUAGCGGUGAAAUGCAUAGAUAUUACAUAGAAUACCGAUUGCGAAGGCAGAUCACUAAUAAUUCACUGACGCUGAUGGACGAAAGCGUAGGUAGCGAACAG
rnacentral:rRNA from 1 species